UAGUGCAAAAUAAAAAAUUGUGUACACUACUGUAGGAUAAUGUAUGUUAUGUCAUUUUAUGUAAGAGGCAGCAGCAUGUUCCUUCCCUUCCGCAACACUGCAAUACUUUGGGAGACAGGACAUCCACACAGAGAGCUCCGCGAGUCCAGCACAACUACAACUGUUUUCGAGACUGAAGACAACAGGAACUUUCAAUGACUCACCACCUUGAGAGCCUAUCCAGUAGCAAGAAACCACAGCCCACGAUGUGCACCACCACAUAGAGACAACUGGCCCACCAGUCUUCGUUCAGCCACGGCGAUAACCUCCUGAUAGAUUCCGUGCUGCAAAGGCAGAGUUCAACUCCCUACUAAAGGAUGGAAUUAUACAAGCAUCCAAGAGUUGUUGGGCAUCUCCUCUUCAUAUGAAGCCAAACCCUUCAGCUACGGAAUGGAGGAGGAAGCUGCAGCCAACCACGACAUCAACGCCACCCUGAGCCGCGUUGCAGCCUGGGGAAGGAAGUGUUAAGUAAAGUUUGCUGCUCACAAAACCCAGCAGCUCACUAUCAACAGGACAAGUAGAGCCCCGUGCCUCACCUUCAACGGGGAGACACUGAUGCCAUGGGAUGAGGUGGAGGUGCUGGGGGUCACUUA